UACGGAGGAUCCAAGCGUUAUCCGGAUUCAUUGGGUUUAAAGGGUGCGCAGGCGGAAUGAUAAGUCAGUGGUGAAAUCUUACGGCUCAACUGUAAAACUGCCAUUGAUACUGUCGUUCUUGAGUACACUUGGAGUGGGCGGAAUGUGUCAUGUAGCGGUGAAAUGCUUAGAUAUGACACAGAACACCGAUCGCGAAGGCAGCUCACUAAGUUGUAACUGACGCUCAGGCACGAAAGCGUGGGGAUCAAACAGGAUUAGAUACCCUGGUAGUCCACGCCGUAAACGAUGAUCACUCGAUGUUGGCGAUAUACUGUCAGCGUCUAAGCGAAAGCAUUAAGUGAUCCACCUGGGGAGUACGAUCGCAAGAUUG
rnacentral:rRNA from 1 species